rnacentral:rRNA from 1 species
UACGUAGGGUGCGAGCGUUAUUCGGAAUUACUGGGCGUAAAGCGUGCGCAGGCGGCGCGUUAAGACAGGUGUGAAAGCCCCGAGCUUAACUUGGGAAUUGCGCUUGUGACUGGCGUGCUGGAGUGUGGCAGAGGGAGGUGGAAUUCCACGUGUAGCAGUGAAAUGCGUAGAGAUGUGGAGGAACACCGAUAGCGAAGGCAGCCUCCUGGGCCAGCACUGACGCUCAUGCACGAAAGCGUGGGGAGCAAACAGG